UCUAAUAGUAGUGUAGAAGUAUUUCUCCUGCAAUCUACUGUUUCUGUUGGUGAAUUUAAAUAAAGUUCCUCGGAUCUUUGCAUCUUCCUCAUCUCUGCACUUCAUCUGUGACAAUUACUGCUUUUGCUGUUUGGAUCAAAUAAGCGCAGGCUUGGGCGUGAUGGCGUUUGACGUUUGAACGGCUGGCUGAUGGUAUACCAGAACCCUCUGCUCCUCCGGAUGACCAGCCCUCUGUCCUGGCUGAGCGCUGUGCUGCUCACAAAUGUCACUCGUACACAGAGCCUGCCAACUCUUUCAUUAGCAAACAUGACCUGGCUUCCAUCGCAUGACAAACAACCCUGCGGGUCAGCGACCCCCCCUUGCUAAAGAUCUCCCACCUGCUCUGCCGUAUACAGAACUGCUGUGUGCACAAGUAAUGAUUAUGAAUCAAGCUGUUGUGUACAUCUACAGCAUCUUUAUACUGUCACUUGUGUUCUCUGUGAACAACUGUGAAAUCAGUUUCUUGGAACCUAAAGUUGUAUUACAGUUAAAGACUUCAAAAUAAUACUAUAAAAUAAUUUGCGUGUGUAGUUUUCUUUAAUGUAUUUCCUGCAGAAACCGGAAGGUUGAAACCUAUUUUAUAAAAAAACAUUAGACUACAUAAUGUCGCAUCACAGAAAUUAUUCAAGACUUACUUGCUGGUAUGCAGUAUUUACGGGGAGGGACAUUCUUAUUGUACACAUCUGAUUGGACAAAAAUCUGACUAGUGCAGCAUGAGUCAAUAUUAUGUAGGCUACA